UGGGGAAUAUUGCACAAUGGAGGGAACUCUGAUGCAGCGACGCCGCGUGAACGAAGAAGGCUUUCGAGUCGUAAAGUUCUUUUAUAUGGGAAGAUAAUGACGGUACCAUAAGAAAAAGCCCCGGCCAACUACGUGCCAGCAGCCGCGGUAAUACGUAGGGGGCUAGCGUUGUCCGGAAUCACUGGGCGUAAAGGGUUCGCGGGCGGAAAUGCAAGUCAGGUGUAAAAGGCAGUAGCUUAACUACUGUAAGCAUUUGAAACUGCAUAUCUUGAGAAGAGUAGAGGUAAGUGGAAUUUUUGGUGUAGCGGUGAAAUGCGUAGAUAUUAGAAAGAAUACCGGUGGCGAAGGCGACUUACUGAGCUCAUUCUGACGCUGAGGAACGAAAGCGUGGGUAGCAAACAGG
rnacentral:rRNA from 1 species